rfam:Pteropus alecto contig46849, whole genome shotgun sequence.
GGUUCCAUAGAGUAGUGGUUAGCACAUCUGCUUUACACGCAGAAGGUCCUGGGUUUGAGCUCCAGUGGAGCCA